rnacentral:rRNA from 1 species
AUGACCGUGACACUUUAGAAUGUUUCUAUGAUCCUUGCACUUCGUAUCGAGGGGAAGCCUCUAUGUAUGAGCACAAAUUCUGACAUGUGGUGCCAGCAGAUGAAGACCCUUAUUGGCAUGGCUCACGAGGAGGCUGAAGACAAGACUAAAGAUAGACUCCCAGUCGGCGCUCCUUAUACAUGGAGCGUAGCAAACUUUGCGCAUUGCCCCGUUGACACUACUCGCAAUAUGAUCCAGUCAUAUGCUCGCGUAUACGUGUGGUAUGUUAUAUGA